rnacentral:lncRNA from 10 species
UUCAGGAGUUGUCGGAUAUGCCCUGCUGUUGUGAGGAUGGAGCUGGAAUGACUGCCAAAUAGCCCGGUGCCUCUUUACUCGCCUGCCUCGUUCCUGUGCAUCCCUCCUGAGGUCACCACUUCUAUGUAGCCUUUCUCCUUUCUGAGGAGCAAUAAUCCAAUCUGAUCAGUGUAAGUUUGCCUCCGUGGAAUGCUGAUGCCCAGGCUGGGGACCCCCGCCACCCCUCUCUCAGCAGUGCUUGCAGGCAUGAGAUGGUGAGGGUUCUCAAAGGCUGUCCUCAACACUGAUCGGCCUUUGAUAUUGAGACCAUGGGGCAGCUGCCUGCCAGGUUCACAGAGGGCUGUAAGCAGGGAUGAGGCUUAGGUGGGGCUUGGAACCACCCCGGGUGCCUGGCCAGGGAGGCUCUGGUUGCAGGGACUGGCAGCCCGGCAGACGAGGACAGAGGACGGGGUUAUUGUGCUCUUUCAGCUCAGGCAAAGCAGCUUUGUGACAAGGACUCUCGUGGGGCGAUUGUGUCUGUGAUUUUAUACCCAAGGUCUAUUUGCCCCAGUCUAAUUCUAGGGGCUGAUCAGGAUGCACCUGGCAGGGAAAGUGGGCACCUCGGACGAUGGAAGCCACUGCAGGGAAGAUGGGGGGAGAGCUCCCAAAGCCAGACCGGCGUAAGGCAUUUCUGGGACCUAAAUUUCAAUGGGGCUCUGUUUUGCCUGGAAACUGUUCAUAAAAUAAAAUAAGCCUAUGUGUGUAUGAGUAUGAAGGGAUGGAUGGUGAUGUUUUCCUUAAAAAAACAAAAAUAACAAAGUGCAUGUGUGUACACAGCAGUCGGGGUCCCAAGUCUGUGUGGUAUCAGGCCUAGUCACGGCACCACUCACCUGGGCCUCAGUUUCCCCAGUCUUUAAAGAGCUAAGAGAGUUCUCGUUCUGUCUGCUGCACGGGCCAGGAGAGUCACGUGAGGCGAGGUGAGAACACGUUGUGUAAAUGAUGAAGUGUUUGCUCUGCACACGUGAGGUGCUGUCUUUACUACCUUAGGGAAAAACCCUCUACUCUGAGGCCGUUGUUUUAGGAUUCAAAUGGUUAGUGAUUGACAUGGUGCCGGGCACUUACUAAGUGAUCAGGAUGAUUUUGUUGACUUGAACCGUGGUGUCAAAAUCCUCUGCAUUGGCUGUAAGAAAGAGGUGGGCUGAGCACGGUGAGAAAUGGAGUCGAAACAGAGAGCAUCCCAGGCCUCUGAAGGCCUUCGAACAUGACAACGAGUUGGCCCCCACUUUGGGGGAUUGGAGUGGACGGUUUGGAGAUCCCCCUGGGACAUACGCCUGAGAGCCCUAAGUGUUUGUCCCGGGGUCCAAGCCUGUCGUCUGCAGCCCUUCAUUGCCCUGCCUAGCUUGGACUGCGUAAGCGUCUGCUGGGCCCAAACCCCAGCCCGGUCCACACACUUGGGCCAUCUCUCCUGGGGGACCGGAUUGUGCGGCCUCCAGAGCUGCCUGGCAGAGGGCACACCUUCUCGGCGCCCUGGUGCCGCACCGCGCCGCGCUCCCAACACCGGCUUGCUUAUGCUUUGUCCUGAUGAUGAUGAAUGAGGUCAGCCUGGCUUACCAUUCACAAAAUAAUUCUUUAUUGCAGAGAAAGCUUUUCUCUAUCUGAGAUCUGCCCUUGUUAUCUACAGCAGUUAUGCUUUCCCUGGCUUUUGGUGUUUGCCUACGUGUAAUGAAGUAGGGAGUAACCCAGGGAGAACGCAGGUAGGGCCUGCUCCUUCCUCUGGGCUAGGGGCGUUCCACCAGGCCCUCAAUCAGCCCCCAGGCCAUAAAGGCAACAAAACAUUUAUCGCUACACACAAACCUACAUAUACACACUUAUGCACACGUAUACAUAUGCGUACACACACACACGUAUCCCAGGAUGCUAUCCUCGUGGAGCUAACAUUUGAUAUUCUAAGUAUUAAAGUUUGAGGCACCAACAGGCUGUCUUAAAAGGCUCAUUCAGCCUGUCUGCCUUGGAGCUAUUUUAUUUAUAAUUCUUCUUGUCACGUCAAAGAACUCUGUGUUUCUUGCAGACUGUGUUCGGGUGGUUGAGUGUUUGGUUUUUGGCUACAGCCGGUUACUUUUUCCGAAUCUGUAGGUCCAGGUGUGCGUUGACAAGGUUUUUCCCAACUCGAGAAGUUUCUCAGGGAGCCUUGGAGUCCUUCUAUAAAUUUCUGGCAUUCUACGUGUGAGAGACUUCCAGUUUUGGAGAAGUCGGGAGAGUGAGGGAAGGAGCGUGCGGUUCUGAGUCCGCUGCCUCCUCUCAGACAGAAAGUCAACGGGCAGCAUCUUGCAGUAUAUUUAGAAUGCAGACUUGAAAAACUGACGGAUAAGAUAUUAUUAGCAAAGGUACAAACCUUUGAUGAUAUUCAAAAACCCCUGCCUCUGUGCAUCAUUGAAAACCAAGCGAAAAAGGAGUGAAAAUAGUGAAAAUACCUAUCCACGUCUCUGAUUACUUUGAAAUCGAUUUUAAAAAUAUGUUUAUCAUGUAAAUAUUAUGUAGACUUUCAUUUUCAAGGUCAGUGUCCCUUCUUGUCUGGU